GACGAACGCUGGCGGCGUGCUUAACACAUGCAAGUCGAACGCUGAAGCUUGGUGCUUGCACUGGGUGGAUGAGUGGCGAACGGGUGAGUAAUACGUGAGUAACCUGCCCUUGACUCUGGGAUAAGCCAGGGAAACUGGGUCUAAUACUGGAUAUGACAUGCCACUGCAUGGUGGUGUGUGGAAAGGGUUUUACUGGUUUUGGAUGGGCUCACGGCCUAUCAGCUUGUUGGUGGGGUAAUGGCCUACCAAGGCGACGACGGGUAGCCGGCCUGAGAGGGUGACCGGCCACACUGGGACUGAGACACGGCCCAGACUCCUACGGGAGGCAGCAGUGGGGAAUAUUGCACAAUGGGCGGAAGCCUGAUGCAGCGACGCCGCGUGAGGGAUGACGGCCUUCGGGUUGUAAACCUCUUUCAGCACGGAAGAAGCGAGAGUGACGGUACGUGCAGAAGAAGCGCCGGCUAACUACGUG
rnacentral:rRNA from 1 species